rnacentral:rRNA from 1 species
UACGUAGGGGGCGAGCGUUGUCCGGAUUUAUUGGGCGUAAAGAGCUCGUAGGCGGUUUGGCAAGUCGGGUGUGAAAACUCCGGCUCAACUCGGAGACGCCACUCGAUACUGCCAUGACUCGAGUCCGGUAGGGGAGUGGCGGAAUUCCUGGUGUAGCGGUGAAAUGCGCAGAUAUCAGGAGGAACACCGGUGGCGAAGGCGGCACUCUGGGCCGGUACUGACGCUCAGGCGCGAAAGCGUAGGGGAGCAAACAGG